CAAGAAAUUCAGCUUCUUACCGGAUUUCCGAGUUCAAACUACUACAAAAGUGUAAUGCUCCAGUCUCCAAAACAUCUCUACAUGUCAACAAGGCUGAGACCCAAUCAUCGAACAGUCUGACCCUACUUUCUCUGUAAACAGCUCCAGUCUCCAAAACAUCUACGUGUCAACAAGGCUGAGACCCAAUCAUCGAACAGUCUGACCAUAGAAACUACUUUCUCUGUAAACAGCUCCAGUCUCCAAAACCUCUACAUGUCAACAAGGCUGAGACCCAAUCAUUGAACAGUCUGACCAUAGGAACUAUACUUUCUCUGUAAACAGGUAAAUUGAAACCCUUACAGUCUCAAUUCCUUCAGUA